GUAGUAGAAUUGAGCCAUUUUCUCAGAUGUGCAGUCGUGUUGCGAGAGGGGCGCACGAUUUAUCUACUAGAUCGUCUAUGCAUAUAGCUGCAUGACUUACUUCAUAACACGGGCACGGAAAACAGACCGUGCGUUGUGACAGUGGUCAAUGAGCAUGAUGAUGAUGUAGCGCACGUUUGGAUUCAUAGGACUGUUUCACUACCACGCCACACCACAACCAGUUCUAGGACUACAGCCCCAAAAAUUGUGAUGAGGGUGGACAUGUGAUUGUGUUUUUAUGAGCCAUCAGCGCAGACGUUCGUAUGUCGAUGGUUGAGAUAAGUGAAACCCUAUAGCGAUAGGACUAGUGGACAAGAAGUGUUCUUGGGAACGUUUGGCAACAUAUAGAAUAUAAUAUACAAUACAAUUGUGUUUGCAAACUGAACAUUAUGAAUUAUGAAUAAGAUCAUUUAGCUGUCUAUUAUCUAAAAUUUAUACAAGUAAUUGUUAAGAAGGGAAUUUCUUUUUUGGGGUUUAGAUGUAAGCAUUUAGUUUUUGAACGAGAGUGAGUGUGUGAGUGAGGGUGAAAGUGAGUGAGAAUUUGUAAAUAUUUUCUUUUGAUUUAUUUUCUUGUAAAUAAAUUCAUUAAUUG
rnacentral:sRNA from 1 species